AACCCGGUGAUCUAUCCAUGGGCAGGUUGAAGGUUGGGUAACACUAACUGGAGGACCGAACCGACUAAUGUUGAAAAAUUAGCGGAUGACUUGUGGAUGGGGGUGAAAGGCCAAUCAAACCGGGAGAUAGCUGGUUCUCCCCGAAAGCUAUUUAGGUAGCGCCUCGUGAACUCAUCUUCGGGGGUAGAGCACUGUUUCGACUAGGGGGUCAUCCCGACUUACCAACUCGAUGCAAACUGCGAAUACCGAAGAAUGUUAUCACGGGAGACACACGGCGGGUGCUAACGUCCGUCGUGAAGAGGGAAACAACCCAGACCGCCAGCUAAGGUCCCAAAGUCAUGGUUAAGUGGGAAACGAAGUGGGAAGGCUCAGACAGCCAGGAUGUUGGCUUAGAAGCAGCCAUCAUUUAAAGAAAGCGUAAUAGCUCACUGGUCGAGUCGGCCCGCGCGGAAGAUGUAACGGGGCUAAACCAUGCAC
rnacentral:rRNA from 1 species